CUAAAACGCGCGGCCAACACAUUCUCUCUCCUCUCCGUAUCCGUCUCCGUUUCCAGCAAUGCUCCCCAUCCCACUCCGCAUGCAGUCUAUGACACCUGGGGCCCGCCAGCAGGCGCGCGCGCACGCGAGAGAGCUGCGGAGAGGAGAGAGAAAGCGUGGAAAUGGGGAGUGCAGGUACAGGCCGUGCGUUUUGCGGAGAGGGAUGCGGAGACUGCUGGAGAGCGAAACAGUGCCUGCGACCGUGCAAAAUGCGGAUGCGGAGUGGUAUACGGAGGGUUGCUGGAGUUGGUCUAAUGGUAAAAAACUCAACUACAAUCAGGCCCACCUGCCUGUCAGCUCCCUCCCGCUCACUCGCGCAAUCCGUCGAACUCGAACACUGCCAUGGCCACCGCCGCUGCCGACGACGAUGUCAAGCUCGAAUCCUUCCUCCAAUGGCUCCAGUCCAACGGCGCCGACCUCCGCAGCUGCACGAUCCGCGCAUGCGGCGGCAAGGGCUUGGGCGUCUUCUCCACCGCCGCCCCCGAGCCGGGCUCCAACGACGGUAACGCUCCUCUCCUUUCCCCCGAGUCGACGAGGCUCAUCUGGACGAUGCGCCGGCGCUGUGCAGGGGUGGCGAUGGUGGUACCGCUCGAUCUCGCCAUCACGCCCAUGCGGGUGCUGCAGGACCCACUCGUCGGCCCGCGAUGCCGCGCGCUCUUAGAGGACGGAGUCGUCGACGACCGCCUCCUCGUCAUGCUCUUCCUCAUGGCCGAGCGCCGACGCCCUGGCUCACUCUGGAAGCCAUACUUGGAUAUGCUUCCGAGCACCUUUGGGAGCUCCCUUUGGUUUACUGAGGAAGAGCUUGCCGAACUGGAAGGGACAACUUUGCACCGAGCUACGUUGAUUCAGAGGAAGUCAUUGCAAUCCUCAUUUGAUGAGAAGGUUAAAGGGCUCGUUGAGGAGCUUUUGCAUGUCGAUGAAUCAGCAAGCUCAGUUGAAGUUUUGUUUGAGGACUUCCUUUGGGCAAACUCAAUCUUCUGGACUCGAGCACUGAACAUACCAUUGCCUCAUUCUUAUGUUUUUCUGGGCUCAUGUGGCGAUCAACAGGCCAGGGCUGACAAUGAUGCCCACCAGGAAAUUGAUAUUACAGCUAAGGAUUGUAGUGCUGAUGAGAAUUCUAAACCAAGUAACACAGAGUCAAUUUGGGUUGAGGGCCUUGUCCCAGGAAUUGAUUUCUGCAAUCAUAAUGUAAAGGCACUGGCAACAUGGGAAGUUGAUUCUGUGGGAAAUGCUACCGGAAUUCCUGCUUCAAUGUACCUCUUGCUUGCUGAUAAAAGUCCUGCUGAGACUGGAGCAGAGAUCUGCAUAAACUACGGCAACAAAGGAAAUGAGGAACUACUGUACCUUUAUGGAUUUGUGGUUGACAACAAUCCUGAUGAUUAUCUCAUGGUUCAUUAUCCUUUGGAAGCUCUUAGACAGAUCCAGUCUGCUGAUAUAAAAAUGAAGCUACUAGAGAUGCAGAAGGGAGAAUUGAGGUGCCUCCUACCCAGAAGUUUGCUUGAUAAUGGAUUUUUUGGUAUCCGUUCUAGUGAAGAUAAGGAUAGCAAGAAAAAUACUGGUCCGUUUUCAAGUUUUAGUUGGAGUGGUCAACGCAAAGUUCCAUCAUAUCUUCCAAAAAUUGUUUUCCCUCAUGAAUUUAUGAGUACUCUACGUACUAUUGCCAUGCAAGAACAUGAGCUUGAACAGGUUGCUUCUUUACUUGGAGAGACUUUAUUCUCUAGGCGUGAAACUACACUUUUUGGAGAUGCAGUGAUCAGUGUUUCGUUCGCUACUUCUGAACUGAUCUGUUGAUAACUGUGUACUAAAAAGGAGUAGGAGACUAGUGACUCCGCACUGAAGACAGAGAAACAUCUUGUGCAGCGAUCCAAAGUGCUAUUUGGGAGGUCUGCGGUGAUCAGGGUGCACUGGGUUUGCUUGUGGAUCUUCUCGGGGUCAAAAUGGCUGAACUUGAAGAGGGCUCUGGAACAGAAGCAUCUGACGCCGAACUGCUCGAGCAGUUCGAUUCCAUUCAGCCAGAAGACUACGCGAGUGAAAGCGGCGAGAAGCACGAAAGGAAGUCAAAGACAAACUACCGUUCGUGUGUAGUGUACCGGAGAGGGCAAAAGCAGCUGACGAGGCUGUUCCUGAGGGAGGUAGAGCAUCUUCUGGAGCUUUCUGCGAAAGAACAGAGCUAAGAGACUCUCAUCUGGUACAAGAUUGAUUUCCUUCUCUCUGUUUUCCGAGUGAAAUUCCUGAGGUUUCUAUGUUUUACUAGCCUGUUGUUUAUCUACGAUCAUGACAUUGACAGGCCCUGCCUGCAUCAAGGUUAGAACUGCAGGGUUGUGAAAGGAGGCACACCCGUUGCGAAAGUAGAAUACCGCCUUCGUUUCGUUCCCUUGCGAAAGUACUACUACUCCGUUCCAGGACUACGAUUUCGUCUCCCGAGGAUUCCGGAUUGCCCGUUGGCUGGGCAUUUGUGGAGGAGACGUCGUCUUGCACUUUGCUGCCACGGCUAGGCUGUAGCUUUACCUGAUUCAGCUUGCAGCGGCGGAGCUGCAGCGAACAGCCAUCUAGAGACAGCUCCAGAGCUCUGGUUUUACCAAAAUGCGUUUCUUUUCUAGAUGACUUUGCCUUCGUCAGAGAUGCAUCUCCUGGUCUCACGAGUCACAGUUCCGACUCCGAGACGGUCAAGGAGGUUUGCUAUGUUUUAAUCGAUGGACAGAUUUGUCUUACAUGACGUCAUGGACA